UAAUUAAUGAGCUAACUAUUAGCUCAUUAGCAACGUUGUAAUGUCAACUGCUAAGCUAAUGGUAGCAUGUUAGCUGAAGGUUUAAUGGAUAAACAUAAUGUAGCACUAAAUGUGACUUUACAGAGUAAAUCACAUGGCAGCAUACGUGGUAAAUGGGAGUUGAAACUGUUUGGGAGAUGAGACAGCUAACUUACUGCUUUUUCCCCACAAUGUCAUUGCUGCUAACUACAGCACAAGCCACACUCCUGCAUAAGGUAAGGAGGUAAUGUGCGUGCAGGCCAUGAUUAACAGCUGCUACUCGCAAAUGUCUGACUCUUACAGUGUCAUAACUACUUUUGUGUUCUUAUGAUAGCUCUUGUUAAUUGACAGUUACAAGAAAAAAAAUAUUUACAGCCAAACUGGUACUGAGAGGGAGCAGAGUUUUGCCAACUAUAUAUUUGGCUUAUUUUCCUGUUUUGUUUUUGAAUACUGGCUAGUUUUAGGGUAACUGCAGUGACUCAUUGCAUAUUUACACAUGUACAGCAGAAAUUAAAAUAUUGUUUCCUCUCAGACACAGAAUGUUGAUCCUGCCCUGUGCUUUACUUUGUCCUGGCUUCUGCCUGUACUGGUUUCCUCCUCUGGCAGACAUUUCCGGCAUAUUGACUGUUAUCUCCAUAACUUGUUUUCUAAGUGCAAAGAACUUUGUGAUCAGUAUCGCACCGGCCAUCUGGGUCCAGCCUGUUCGCUGACUCGCCUCCGCGAGUGCUCACCAUAACACAGUUGCAUAUCAUGACUGUCUGUGAUGGCAUGCUGCCUCUGAACAGUAAGUAAAAAUAAAAUAUGACCUUGUGAUGGUUCAAGUAAUGUAUUAUUUGUUUAAAGAUUGUGAUU